rnacentral:rRNA from 1 species
AGCGAACGCUGGCGGCAGGCCUAACACACGCAAGUCGAGCGCCCAGCAAUGGGAGCGGCAGACGGGUGAGUAACGCGUGGGGAUCUACCCAUUGGUACGGAAUAACCCAGGGAAACUUGGAUUAAUACCGUAUGAGCCCUUCGGGGGAAAGAUUUAUCGCCAAUGGAUGAACCCGCGUCUGAUUAGCUAGUUGGUGAGGUAAAGGCUCACCAAGGCGACGAUCAGUAGCUGGUCUGAGAGGAUGAUCAGCCACACUGGGACUGAGACACGGCCCAGACUCCUACGGGAGGCAGCAGGGGGGAAUAUUGGACAAUGGGCGCAAGCCUGAUCCAGCCAUGCCGCGUGAGUGAUGAAGGCCUUAGGGUUGUAAAGCUCUUUCGCCGGUGAAGAUAAUGACGGUAACCGGAGAAGAAGCCCCGGCUAACUUCGUGCCAGCCGCCGCCGUAA